AACGAACGCUGGCGGCAUGCCUAACACAUGCAAGUCGAACGAGACCUUCGGGUCUAGUGGCGCACGGGUGCGUAACGCGUGGGAACCUGCCCUUAGGUUCGGAAUAACUCCCCGAAAGGGGUGCUAAUACCGGAUAAUGUCUUCGGACCAAAGAUUGAUCGCCUUUGGAUGGGCCCGCGUUGGAUUAGCUAGUUGGUAGGGUAAAAGCCUACCAAGGCGACGAUACAUAGCUGGUCUGAGAGGAUGAUCAGCCACACUGGGACUGAGACACGGCCCAGACUCCUACGGGAGGCAGCAGUGGGGAAUAUUGGACAAUGGGCGAAAGCCUGAUCCAGCAAUGCCGCGUGAGUGAUGAAGGCCUUAGGGUUGUAAAGCUCUUUUACCCGGGAUGAUAAUGACAGUACCGGGAGAAUAAGCUCCGGCUAACUCCGUG
rnacentral:rRNA from 1 species